rnacentral:rRNA from 1 species
CCUACGGGAGGCAGCAGUGAGGAAUAUUUGUCAAUGGGCGCGAGCCUGACCCAGCCAAUUAGCGUGAAGGAUGACUGCCCUACGGGUUGUAAACUUCUUUUAUAAAGUAAUAAAGUGAGGCACGUGUGCCUUUUUGUAUGUAUUUUAUGAAUAAGACUCGUCUAACUCCGUGCCAGCAGCCGCGGUAAUACGGAGGAUCCGAUCGUUAUCCGGAUUUAUUGGGUUUAAAGGGAGCGUAGAUGGGUGGUUAAGUCAGUUGUGAAAGUUUGUGGCUCAACCGUAAAAUUGCAAUUGAUACUGGCAGCCUUGAGUACAGUUGAGGUAGGCGGAAUUCGUGGUGUAGCGGUGAAAUGCUUAGAUAUCACGAAGAACUCCGAUUGCGAAGGCAGCCUACUAAACUGCCACUGACAUUGAUGCUCGAAAGUGUGGGUAUCAAACAGGAUUAGAUACCCGUGUAGUC